rnacentral:rRNA from 1 species
AGUCGAGGGGUAACAGAGAAGCUUGCUUCUGCUGACGACCGGCGCACGGGUGCGUAACGCGUAUGCAACCUACCUUAUACAGGAGAAUACCCCUUGGAAACGAGGAAUAAUGCUCCAUAGUAUCAUCACUUCGCAUGUUGAGAUGAUUAAAGAAUUUCGGUAUAAGAUGGGCAUGCGUCCCAUUAGCUUGUUGGUGAGGUAACGGCUCACCAAGCCUACGAUGGGUAGGGGGCCUGAGAGGGUGGUCCCCCACACUGGUACUGAGACACGGACCAGACUCCUACGGGAGGCAGCAGUGAGGAAUAUUGGUCAAUGGAGGCAACUCUGAACCAGCCAUGCCGCGUGAAGGAUGACGGCCCUAUGGGUUGUAAACUUCUUUUGAAUAGGAAGAAACUUAUCUACGUGUAGAUAACUGACGGUACUAUUAGAAUAAGGAUCGGCUAACUCCGUGCCAGCAGCCGCGGUAAUACGGAGGAUCCAAGCGUUAUCCGGAUUCAUUGGGUUUAAAGGGUCCGUAGGCGGGUCUUUAAGUCAGUGGUGAAAGCCGACAGCUCAACUGUCGAACUGCCAUUGAUACUGGAGACCUUGAGUACAAAUGAAGUAGGCGGAAUGAGUCAUGUAGCGGUGAAAUGCAUAGAUAUGACUCAGAACACCGAUUGCGAAGGCAGCUUACUAACAUGUAACUGACGCUGAGGGACGAAAGCGUGGGGAGCGAACAGGAUUAGAUACCCUGGUAGAAGGGC